rnacentral:rRNA from 1 species
GUAGCAGAAUAGUUUGUUCUUUAAUUGGGAGUUGGUAUGAAGGGUUACACAAAAAAUAUCUUUUUAAGUUAAAUAAAGUAAUUUAAAUUUCAAGUUAAAAUGCUUGAAUAUAAUAAAGGGACGAUAAGACCCUAAAAGCUUAAAUUAUUUAAAGAUUUAUUUUAUUUUUAUUGUAAAUGGUAGUUUGAUAAUAAUAUUAGCUGGGGAAGUGGUUUUGAUAAAAUCAAAAUUUUAUAUAACUUAUUUAAAGGGCGAUGAUCUUUUUAUAAAGAUAAAUAGUAAGAGUUACUUUAGGGAUAACAGCGCAAUGGUCUUGGAGAGUUCUUAUUUAUAGGAUUAUGUGCGACCUCGAUGUUGAAUUAAAAUUAUCUUAAAGGAGUAGAAGAUUUAUAAGAGGGUUUGUUCAACCUUUAAAUUUUU